UGCAAGUCGAGGGGUAACGAUGUCUUCGGACAGGCGACGACCGGCGCACGGGUGAGUACCGCGUUUGUAACCUACCUUUAACUGGAGAAUAGCCCGAAGAAAUUCGGAUUAAUACUCCAUAAUACUAUGAUCUGGCAUCUUUUUAUAGUUAAAGCUCCGGCGGUUAAAGAUGGGCAUGCGUAACAUUAGUUUGUUGGUGAGGUAACGGCUCACCAAGACUACGAUGUUUAGGGGGUCUGAGAGGAUGGUCCCCCACACUGGUACUGAGACACGGACCAGACUCCUACGGGAGGCAGCAGUGAGGAAUAUUGGUCAAUGGGCGCAAGCCUGAACCAGCCAUGCCGCGUGAAGGAUGACAGCGCUAUGCGUUGUAAACUUCUUUUGUACAGGAAGAAACACUUCUACGUGUAGAAGCUUGACGGUACUGUACGAAUAAGCAUCGGCUAACUCCGUGCCAGCAGCCGCGGUAAUACGGAGGAUGCAAGCGUUAUCCGGAUUUAUUGGGUUUAAAGGGUACGUAGGCGGAAAAUUAAGUCAGUAGUGAAAUCCUGCAGCUUAACUGUAGAACUGUUAUUGAUACUGGUUUUCUUGAAUAUAGUUGAGGUAGGCGGAAUGUGUAAUGUAGCGGUGAAAUGCUUAGAUAUUACACAGAACACCGAUUGCGAAGGCAGCUUACUAAGCUAUGAUUGA
rnacentral:rRNA from 1 species